rnacentral:rRNA from 1 species
CUACGGGACGCUGCAGUGAGGAAUAUUGCAUAAUGGGGGGAACCCUGAUGCAGCAACGCCGCGUGGAGGAUGACGCAUUUCGGUGUGUAAACUCCUUUUAUAUGUCAAGAAAAUGACGGUAGCAUAUGAAUAAGCACCGGCUAACUCCGUGCCAGCAGCCGCGGUAAUACGGAGGGUGCAAGCGUUACUCGGAAUCACUGUGGCGUAAAGUGCGCGUAGGCGGGUUGGAAAGUCAGGGGUGAAAUCCUACAGCUUAACUGUAGAACUGCACUUGAAACUUCUAAUCUAGAGUAUGGGAGGGGGAGAUGGAAUUAGUGGUGUAGGGGUAAUAGCCGUAGAUAUCACUAGGAAUACCUAAAGCGAAGGCGAUCUCCUGGAACAUUACUGACGCUAAGGCGUGAAAGCGUGGGGAGCAAACAGGAUUAGAUACCCCAGUAGUC